UGGGGAAUCUUGGACAAUGGGCGCAAGCCUGAUCCAGCCAUGCCGCGUGAGUGAAGAAGGCCUUCGGGUUGUAAAGCUCUUUUACCAGGGACGAUAAUGACGGUACCUGGAGAAUAAGCCCCGGCAAACUUCGUGCCAGCAGCCGCGGUAAUACGAAGGGGGCUAGCGUUGUUCGGAAUUACUGGGCGUAAAGCGCACGUAGGCGGAUUGUUAAGUCAGAGGUGAAAUCCCGGAGCUCAACUUCGGAACUGCCCUUGAUACUGGCAAUCUAGAGUCCGGAAGAGGUUAGUGGAAUUCCCAGUGUAGAGGUGAAAUUCGUAGAUAUUGGGAAGAACACCAGUGGCGAAGGCGGCUAACUGGUCCGGUACUGACGCUGAGGUGCGAAAGCGUGGGGAGCAAACAGGAUUAGAUACCCCUGUAGUCCCUGAGCGGGCUGGCAAGGCGCAU
rnacentral:rRNA from 1 species